GAAGGGGGACGGCGAGACUCCCGCCGCCGCUGCUGCCGCCGCCACCAGCAAGUCCAAUAUUGGCUGACGGGCGGUGAGGAUGCAGAGGAUGAUAAUCCCGGGAGUCGCCCUGCUGACGGGGUAUAGUGAAUAUGCUGCAUGGUCAAAUUGGUUUGUAUAAGUGGAAACUGACUGUAUGUGAGAACACCAUUCUGCAGACAUGAUGUUUGGUGGCAUUUGAAUUUCUAAAUAAGAGCUAAGCAAGCUUCCCUGAUUCUUCUGCCUUUAUUUGGAAACCUAUCAUCAGAAACGUCGAAAUGGAAGAAAUUGCUCUCAUCCUCUAUCUCCAUGUGGAGACCUUCACCCUCAAGAGAUGAGGCCCCUUGAUUUUGGACUUCAGUCUCCAGAACUAAGCUGAAUUUUGAGCUGAAGGACCUGCUACCUUGGAACCUGACCUUCUGCUUUAGCUUGGCUGUGGAGAACAUUCUUGAUUGUGCAGAAAUAAUUCCUACGAGGAAGCAAUUUGUAUCCAAGAGCUAUCAUGUUUCAAAUACCAUUAGUAGAAGAAUUUAGCAGUGCUGAUCAAUUUCGAUAAAUUUGGAAGAGAAAACAGAGAUUUGUAAAUUAUUAUGGGAAACAGAAUCUGCAGAUUGGUGGGAGGAGGGAAAAGAGACCAGAGGAGGAAGGAAGCCAUGUCCUAAAUAAGACAGAGCUUGGUUAUGUCCGGGUGGUGCUGUAGGGAGAGAGAAAAAUGCACUAAGUUGCCCCAGUGUCCAGCUCCCUCUGGAAAGCACUGUGCUUUAGGGUAAAAUAGCCUUCAAUGGAAAGCAAGCAGAAUUAAAGCCCAUCAACCCAGGAGUGCCUGGCUGACAAGUCCAGCCGUAAUGGUGAGGAGAGACAGUAGUUGAUCUUGAAUCAUCCGAAACCUGGUUCCAGAGCUCGGUGGGUGCUAACUGCAAGGACAUACCUCGAGGAAGGAGUCUUUUGAGCCCAGAAUGGAUCUUCAGGAGGGAGCAAGCUCUGAUAAGGAGGAUGAUGAAACAUGGGAAACUAUGCAGCCUGAGCAGAGAAGCAAACAUACUUUAUAAUCUGAUAGGUCAGCCCUGGGAGGGACAUAACCCCAGAAAUUGUGGGGGGAUGUAAACUGGCUUGUAUAUGUUAGGUCUCCCUAGACUUUUCAGUGUCUCAGUGUAUCUUGUUAGUAUUAGAUGUGUUCAUUAUGGCAGGUGUCUGUAAGUAACUGUCUAUUGUCAGUCCUUCUCUCUCUGGUUCCCUUUCCCUCAUUAGAUUUUGCUGGAUAGAGGACUGACUGUAAUGCCUAUUGUCCC